rnacentral:rRNA from 1 species
GCUCAACCGAGGAAGUGCUUCGAAAACUGGUAAACUUGAGUGCAGAAGAGGAAAGUGGAACUCCAUGGGUAGCGGUGGAAUGCGUAGAUAUAUGGAAGAACACCAGUGGCGAAGGCGGCUUUCUGGUCUGUAACUGACGCUGAGAUUCGAAAGCAUGGGUAGCAAACAGGAUUAGAUACCCUGGUAGUCCAUGCCGUAAACGAUGAGUGCUAAGUGUUGGAGGGUUUCCGCCCUUCAGUGCUGCAGCUAACGCAUUAAGCACUCCGCCUGGGGAGUACGACCGCAAGGUUGAAACUCAAAGGAAUUGACGGGGGCCCGCACAAGCGGUGGAGCAUGUGGUUUAAUUCGAAGCAACGCGAAGAACCUUACCAGGUCUUGACAUACCAUGAAAAGCUUAGAGAUAAGUCUUUCCCUUCGGGGACAUGGAUACAGGUGGUGCAUGGUUGUCGUCAGCUCGUGUCGUGAGAUGUUGGGUUAAGUCCCGCAACGAGCGCAACCCUUAUUAUCAGUUGCCAGCAUUCAGUUGGGCACUCUGGUUAGACUGCCGGUGACAAACCGGAGGAAGGUGGGGACGACGUCAAAUCAUCAUGCCCCUUAUGACCUGGGCUACACACGUGCUACAAUGGUCGGUACAACG